AAGGAUGAUGAUGACCUCCGGAGAGGCUGUCAAGUACAAGAGCUCCUUGGAUGCUUUCCAGCAGAUCCUGGCGAAGGAGGGUGCCAAGUCUCUCUUCAAGGGUGCUGGUGCCAACAUCCUCCGUGCCAUUGCUGGUGCUGGUGUGCUCUCCGGCUACGAUCAGCUCCAGAUCCUCUUCUUCGGCAAGAAGUACGGCUCAGGCGGUGCCUAGAGGGGAAGAAAUGAUGACGAACAAGAGAAGUCUGUUCCCAGUCCUGCCCUUCAAGGAUCUGGCGAACUUUUAUCUUUUUAACGUUGGAAGGCAAUAAUUUCUGUAGAGGGUGGAUUUUCCCAACAUUCGUUUUUGGUGGAGGCAUCGAACUCCAGAGGUUGUCGUAGGUUGGCGGCAGCGUUCUCAAAACAUUUACUAUCAUAGGGGUUGAGUUUGAGUUCGAGUAUGUGCCCUGAAUCGUUACUGGGCAAUUUUCCUUAAAUACAUUGUCCUCCAAUCCUACUGAGAUUAUUAUGGUCCAAGUUUAUGCUGUUGGUCUUGACAUCCUAUUUCUGUUUGCAUUUUUAGUUUAUGCUGUUGCUUUGCCUGUUCAUAAUUCUUAUUGAUUUGCCUGUGAUUCUUGUUUUACUUGCUUUGUCUGUGAGAUUCUGAUUCGUGUUAGUACACUGCCUCAGUUCCGAAAUGUAGUAGUGCGUAGCCAAACAUCACAAACUUUGAUCAAAUUUGCGCAACAUUUACAUCGUAUCAUUAACAAUAAUAAGUAUUUUCAUGUUAAAUAUAUUUCGUGUUGUAAGUAUAAAUAGUUUUAAAGUUCUGGAAAUUUUUGACUUUAAAAAAAAA
rnacentral:lncRNA from 1 species